rnacentral:lncRNA from 1 species
UGGGAGGUGAGCCAAGUAGAUUCUGGGAAUAGGUGCCUGUUGCCUUGGCAACGGGUCUGCGGGUCGCACUGUCGCCUGUGUGACGUCAUAGGUUUGGGAGGUCGUGAUGCCAACAGCAUAAGCAUGCAGCAGUGAAUCCUUCAUUUGUCCAGACCCAGUCUCCAGGGCCACAGCUUCCUACACAGACAUCGCCCUGCCCAUCCGAUGGGGUUGUUAGCAUCUUUCUCUCCUCUUGAGGAAACACAACCGCUUGGGACUCAGUUCCUUUUUCAGAUUUAUGUCUUUCAGUCAAAGGCUAAAACGCAUGGUCGCAUGCAGGAGACGGUGCUAGAGAGGCAGCUGUCAGCUUUGGAUCUGGAUUUGCAGAACGCAGUAAGACAACAGCACUGGGACUGGCUUGAGCUUCUGAAAUCUCAAGCCCACCCGCAGUGACACAUUUUCUCCAAAUAGGCCACACAUCCUAAUAGUGCCACUCCCUAUGGAUCAACAUGGGCAUUCU